rnacentral:lncRNA from 1 species
UGUUUCACAGUCGAUAAACUUUUUGCUAAGGUAAAUUGCAUGCUCUUUUCGACAAGACGCGUCAUGCUGACCCAAUACACCUCGUGGACCCUCGAAGGCCGUCAAGCACAGAAUUGAUGGUUGUUCCUUCCACCGGAGGUAACAGAAUCGGAGGUUCCUGCAACUUUUCUUUUAUUUUUCAAUGCCCCUUGGCAAUCAUUAUUUCACCUGACUGUUUGAUUUUUUUUUCAACAUCUUACAUAUGGGUUCACACGUGGCGGUCUAGAUGAGAUGUGAACCAUGACAGGUAGUUCAAUCUAUCUAAGAAACCACGAACCUCCUUCUUUACUUUUUCUCGGUUCAGGCAUUUUUUUUUUUAGCAGGAUGAACCUCGAUUCCUCCCUUACAAUGAACUCCCAGCAGCUUACCGGCCCGCACUCUGAUAGUGCACUUAUCUGAAUUCAACCUCAGUCUGAAUUAUCUCCACCAGAUGCCCCACUCCUGUUUGGGGCUUUGCUAUCAUGUCAUAGCAUAACAUUCGAUUUCAUGACGAAUCAUAUCAUGAAACAAAGUCACCAUGGCUCUCUGAUACAGGCACUGGCGUUCUGCUUCUCAAGAGGACAGUCUUCUUUCCAUAGUAGCUUGAGCAUAACGAUAUCGGUAUCUGUCCCGGCAUACCCUGACAUGACCAGGUAGAGACAUCCACAUGCUCUUCCAACAAGCCUACCAUCCUGCUUUCAACUUGCCUCUGAAACGGCC